CUGAACAUCGAUUGCGCAAUAGGGGGAGUGUCGCAGUUGGCCCGGACACGGACGUGUGGUUCAGCAGACAGACACACGCCCCCUUGCCCUUUUUCCAGGACCCGAAAACGUUGACAGUGUGUAGGCUAAAGUAAAGACGAGUUUUUAGAAUACUGUACAUACUCUUCUGUUUACCAGUGUAUGUCUGGACUCGAACACUGCAGGCUCGUUGUAAGAUGGCGGACCAGUUACCAGAUCUUGACGAGUUUCUGCGAGAGGAUUCCUAUGUGAGCCCCUAUGCGGACGAUAUACGCAGGAGGUACCGUCUGUUUGAGCGCAGGCUGGCUGAGCUGGGAGAGGCGGAGGGAGGAGUGGACGGCCUGACCAGGGGCUACCAGUCCUACGGGGUGCAGAGACUGGAGGACAACAGCAUGCUGUUCAGAGAGUGGGCCCCGGGGCCAGGGCCCUGUACCUGACCGGAGAUUUCAAUGGGUGGAACACCACUUCUCACCCCUACACAAGAAGGACUUUGGGAAAUGGGAGUUGAUUCUUCCUCCCCGGCCAGACCAGUCCCCCCCUGUGGAACACCUGUCCGCACUCAAGCUGGUGGUGCUGACAGCAGAGGGGGAGGAGCUGUUCCGGAUAUCUCCGUGGGCCAAGUACGUCACCAAGACUCCGGACUCCAACACCUAUGACUGGGUGCACUGGGACCCCGCGGAGCCCUUCCUGGUAUGACCUGUUUGUGUGU